rfam:Gossypium raimondii Chr02_contig_1230, whole genome shotgun sequence.
GGGGAGUACGUUCACAAGAAUGAAACUCAAAGGAAUUGACGGGGGCCGUACAAGCGGUGGAGCAUGUGGUUUAAUUCGAUGCAAAGUGAAGAACCUUAUUAAGGCUUGACAUGCCAUGAAUCCUCUUGAAAGAGAGGGGUGCCUUCGAGAAUGUGGACACAAAGGGUGCAUGGCUGUCAUCAGCUUGUGCCGUAAGGUGUUGGGUAAGUCCCGCAACGAGCACAACCCUGUGUUUAGUUGCCACCCUUGAGUUUGGAAUCCUCAGUAGACUGCCGGUGAUAAUCGGAGGAGGGUGAGGAUGACAUCAAGUCAUCAUGCCCCUUAUGCCUUGGGCGACACACGUGCUACAAUGAACGAGACAAAGGAUCACAAUCCCGCGAGGGUGAACUAACUCCAAAAACCCAUCCUCAAUUUAGAUUGCAGGUUGAUCUUAAAGAUAUAUGAUUUAUUUACUUUUGAUAAUGGUAAAAUAUAAAAUAUCAGCCACUUGGGCG